CAGCGAGCGCAGAGAUGGCUUUAGGGAUGGAGAUGCUGCUUGAGGAGCCCGCAGAUAAGUUUUUCUAUUAAAAAAGAUAGGCGUUAGUGUAUUUCUUUAGGGAUUAUAAGUAGUGAAAAUACGGAGAUACUGCUUUGCAUUAAGUUCUUAGAUAAAUUUUAGGGAAAAUAUGAAGACUUAAAGAGUAGUUGGAGAAAGGAAGAGGGAAGAAAAAAGAUAAUUUUAGAACCUGAGGGAGGUUAAGAGCUGAAAUUUUUUCAUGGAGUGAAAAAUUUAAAAGAAUUGAUGAGCUAGGACUGCAAUGUCUGGAUUUUUUUUUUAAAGCCUUAACUUGAAGGGCAACCUUUUACCUUAACAUUAAAACGUUGGGUUACGUAAAUCGAACCUAAACGUUUUAAAAGGUUGAGUUGUAGGUGAUUAAAAUACUACAAAGGCCAUCUUAAGAUUUAACUGAAGGUGGUUUCAGAAAUAAUGCCUUCAGAUUCACGGCGCAGUAAAAAUGGCGUCAUUUGAAGCCUGCUUGAUACUAAGGCUUUGUUUGGCUAAAGUUGACGGAAAUAUUAGGAAUGGUAGGAAAGAAAAUUGGAAGUUUGAAGUGGAAAAUUCGGAAGACAGAAGUACAGGAAGGUGAAGAAAAAACUAGAGAAGAUAAGAGAUACACGUUUUAGAAGAUAAAACCUGAGCCUAGUAAGUAGGCAGAAAAAGACAAAUCUAGGAGAAAAUUGAAAAUACGGUCGAGUGCUUAAGAUAGAAUGAAAAGAAAGCUAUUGGACGCAAACAUACAAGAUAGACGUCCAAAAAUUUAGAUAGUUCAAAAUCAAUAAUGUUGGAUAAAUUACAGGAACAAAAACUAAGGAAAUUUUUAUAGCCAAUAAGAAUUUAUUGUAAAAGCCCAUCAACUUAUUUCUGGUGGUGCAAAAGUUAGAUCUCAGAAGAUGAGGGUUUUUUUUUUUUAAAACUACUGUAGACCAGGACCAACUUAGAAGAAAAUCCGGAAACUAGGAGAGUCAAUUUAAAAUCUCAGCAAAAAGUUACUGAAGGGGACUGAAGUAACUUAAAAGUUAAGAAUGUAUUUGGGAGAGUUAAAAAUCUGAAAGGCCUUAAAUGCGGUAGCGUAGUUUCCUUUGGAAAAUGUAAAGGACUUUAUAAGUGAAUUAAAUUGAAGAGCAAGAAUAACCAUCGAGUUAUUGGACUUUGAGCUAAGAUGAAUGUUUAAAUCCUGAGGACUAGGCGCUAAAUAACAGCUGACGCAGGUGCUACGCAGAAGUGGAUUCAGUGAAGCUAGGAAGACAGGAGCGGCAGACAGGAUUCGGAGCCAGUGUUGGUGAAAACUAGGACUGAGGAGCCAGCGGCAGUUCGUGAAGAUAGGAAAGAGAAGCCCGGGAGCCAGUGCGACUUGGUGAAGGAAGCUAGGAAGAAGGAGCGAGUCCUAACGAUUUGGAGGUGAAGCUAGGAGAGGAUUCCAGGAAGGAGGAAGCCAGUGCGGUGUGGUGAAGCUAGCGUGCGGCUUGGCUUGGCAACCACGCGGAGGCGGCGAGCAGGCGGAGUGGAGGAUAGAUAGAGGAUCCUAGAGCAGCAGACCAGUGUACGAGCCCCGCAGGGAGAGCCAGUGGUGUGGUAAAAAUCCGUGAAGUCGGCACUAUCGUGGGUUUUUUUUCCUCCUGUAACUCAGUAUGGUAAUAUCUCUUAUUAAAUUUUCCUAAUAGUAAUGGGGGAGUUGUGUACUUAAGCAUAAAGGGGAUUUUAUUACGGGGAUGUAGGCCGGUUUUCGGGUGUCGUAGGUUUCUCUUUUUCAGGCCUAUUUUCUCAUGCAUCUUGUCUGGAGCUUUUGAGGGCAGACUUCAAGGCCCGGAGGAAUGGUAGAUGGCAAGUGUUCUUGUUUUUAACCAAUAUGAGGGAUGUCCUGAAUUUGGUAGAACAACUGUGAGACAACUUCAGCAAGCUUUGUAAACAGGUUUUAUAUUCAGUUUGGGGGUAAUGAAGCAUUUCAGUUUCGUGAGUAGAGGGCCUACUUUUCUUUCCUCACCCUGUAUUUUAAAAGUCUUCUAAAUAUGUAGUUUCGGUGUAUAAUUCUGGGCGGGGGGAGUUUUUUUGGGGGGGGAGCAAAAUAUGUUUUGAGUUCUUUUCCCUUUAGGUCUGUCUAGAAUUCCAAAGGCAAAUGACUCGAGGUAACAGGCGAAAAGAAAAUCCAAUAUCAGGAUAAUCAGAACACUGCAGGUUUACAGUUAUAGAAACUCUAGCACAAGCAGCUUUCACUUUGAGGUCUGUGGCGCAGCUGUCCAUUGGAGUAAUGGCUGGUAGUUUAUUCUUUUUUUCCCCACCCCUUUAUUAAAUAUUUUUAUAAAGUACGUAACUGGUUAUUUUUACUUAAAUAUUUUGGGGUGGUGUGAACAGGGAAGAGGGUGGGGGAGAAACUUUUUUUUUCUAAGAUUUUCCACAGAUUCUAUAGUACUAUUGACAAUCUGAGUUAGAGAAGGAUUGUACUGCUACGCUGUUUGGCACCAACACCUUCAGGGAUUGGAGCAGCUUUUUUCCUUGGAAGAGUAUUCCCAGUGAAGCUGAAAUGUACAGCCCAGUGCAGCUUUGGUUCAUAUUCAGUCAUCUCAGGAGAACUUCAGAAGAGCUUGACUAGGCCAAAUGUUGAAGUUAAGUUUUCAAAUAACGACUUUUAAGAUACCUUUAUUAAAGGGGAGGGGCAAAUUUUGGCGAUUUGUAGUUGGCAGUGGCUUGUAAUGAUUGGGAUGGGGGGGGCGUGGGUUUAGGUAAUUGUUUAGUUUUUGAUUACAGAUAAACUCAUGCCAGAGAACUUAAAUACUUAAGGUGGAAAAACUAAAGAAAUCUCAACUUCCAAGUUGGCAAGUAACUCGAAAUCCUCUGGUUCUGUUUUGCCCCAAUUUUUGAAUUUAACAGAUGGGGAAGUUGAUGACGAUUCACUGGAUUUAAAAGAGUAGGGCUUGGGAAAGGAAAAUGACUGGGGGUUGGUCUGGCCCUCUGCGCUGACUUAGAUAAAAACUUGGGGAAUUUUUUUUUAAAUGGUAAAGUUCGGAUAUAGUGUGUGGUUCUCUCUUGGAAUAUUUUUCAGGUGAUUUAAUAAAACUUAAUACUACUAUAGGAGCUUCAGAGCAAAGGAGGUGGCUUAAUGAUCCUGAAGGGAUUUCUUCUGGUGGUAGCUUUUGUAUUAUCAAGUAAGAUUCUUUUUUCGGCUGUAUAUAAGCAAGAUUGUUUGGUUUAUUCUUUUCUUUUUUAGCGUAGGAAAAGUUUGUUGUUAAGGUAUGCUUCAAAAUUAUUGUUAAUUGUAUUUUGAAUUUACAUCUAAGCCUUGUAAAUCAUAACUGAUAAGAGGGGGUGGGCUUUUGUUGAUGAGGGAGGGGAAACCUUUUUUUUUUGUAGACUUUUUUCAGAUAACAUCUUCUGAGUCAUAACCAGCCUGGCAAUCUGAUGGCCUAGAUGGAGAGGGGAACAGCUCCUUGGUGAAUGAUAAGUAAAGGCAGAAAAGAUUGUAUUUCAUACCUACAUUGGGGAAAAAAGCAUAACCCUGAGAUUUUCUUCUGAUGAACACAUUGUCUGCACAUGCAAAAAAAAAAGCAAAUGAAAACUACCAAUUUAAAGUUAAUGGAAUCUACUACUAUAAAGUUAAUGGCUUAUCAAGCUGUAUCCACAAAAAUAAUGAAUUGAUGAAAAAUAAAAAUAACGAUACAAUGAAGAUCAAAAUGUCAAUCUCAAUACUGCUUUUACAAAAGCAGAAUUAAAAAAGCGAAAUGAAAAUAGCGCUACAUAUUAAUCCUGGAAAAAAAAGAAGCUGAAAUAAUUGAAAUGAGUGGGAUCAAGUGAAUUGAGAGGAGGAAGAGGCUGUGCUGUUUGCCAAUCUUUCGUUUGCCUCAGACAGGUUUUUCUUCAUUAUCAGAAGAGUUGCUUCAUUUCAUCUGGGAGCAGAAAACAGCAGGCAGCUGUUAACAGAUAAGUUUAACUUGCAUCUGCAGUAUUGCAUGUUAGGAAUAAGUGCUUACCUUUGUGAAGAGCUGUGGAAGUCCUAGGUCCCUUACCUAAGGGAUUCCAGGAUUGUGAGGCAUCGUCCCAUCCAGCCUUUUAAAAUUAGACAGGACAGCGUUCCUGUGGGCUUUGAUGAUGGGACAGCACAUUUCAUUCAAGAGGCAAGUAAUUCCUUAAAGCCUCUUGAGAUUAGCAAAGAUAAUGUUUAUAAAACUAAGAACAUUUGUUUAGCCUUGAAUCUGACAGCCCUAUUUAAGGGAUAGUAUUGUACUGUUAAGAAUUCAGAUUUUGUUAAUCUUGCUAAAAUUCAAAUGUUACGUGUAUUGUGCAGAAAACCAUUAAAUCAUUCAAAAUAAAAUACUUUUAUUUUUAGAGAAUGUAUGCUUUUAGGAAGCUGUCUCCUUAUUUAAAUAAAACAUUGUUUGUCUGUAGUUAGUGUUGGGGCAAUCUGGGGGGGGUUUCUUCUCAUCUUUCAGAAACUUUGUCUGCGAACACUCUUUAAUGGACAAGAUCAGGAAAUUGAGCAGAAGAACGAAUUUAAUUUAAGGCAGGAAAAAAUUUUGUCCUUCGUAAAAGUGAUGAGCAUUUAAUAAUUCCAGGCACAUGGCAAUAGAGGCCCUCUAAAUAAGGAAUAAAUACCUCUUAGACAGGUGGGAGAUUAUGAUCAGAAGAACAGGUAACUUAACUCCUACAAUGUUUGCAGAAAGUCAGGAGUCUGUCUAGUGGUUAAACUAGAGUAAUGGAAUGUACUGUCCACAUUUCCAGUUUGCAUGUUAACUUUGCUUAGUCAUCUCAUCUGGUGUUAGCCAGUGUUCACACUGUUGGCCUACUUUUUAGAUACCUGGUGGGGGGGUGGUUGGUUUUUUUUUUUUUUUUAAAGAAUUUUCCUUUGCAGAGGCUUCAUUUCAUCCUUCGUGAAGCUUUUCAGGAUUUUGGCUUUCAUGUAAACGCUUGGCUCUGCCUUCUGUUCUCCUAGGGAGUGUUUCAGACCUUGCAGUGAGUUUAUCGGCAUAUUUAAGUAUAAACAUUUUUCCCCUUGAAUUUGGAGGGAAGGGAGGAGAGGGUGGGGCUUACUUGUUUUAGCUUUUUUUUUUACAGACUACACAGAAUGCAGUUGUCUUGACCUCAGGUCUGUGUGUUCUCUUGGCAAGUAAUACAGUACUGUUCUGAUCCGCUGCUAUUAGAAUGCAUUUUGAAACGACUGGAGUAUGAGUCAAAGUUGUGUUUCCCCCAAUGCUUGGAGUGGAGUAGUGAUUGUUAAAAGAAAAUCCAGCUGAGUGAUAAAAGGCUGAGUGUUGAGGAAAUUUCUGCAGCUUUUUAAGCAUUCAUGUUUGUGAUUGGAGCGGAGUCCCUUUUGCUGUGCUUUUUUUUAGGUAAAAUGCUUUUUGUUCACUUCUGGUAAGGGGGUGGGGAGGGCACUGAAGCCUUUAGUCUUUUCCAGAUGCAACUUUAAAAUCAGUGACAAGAAAUAAUUCCAAACGAGCAGCACUCUUGAAGAAAUUUAACUGGCAAGUGGAAAUGUUUACCAACAGUUCAGUGGUCUUAGUGCAUUUGUUUUUGUUUGGGUGUCUCUCUCUCCUCCCCUGGUCUUAAUUUCAUAUACAGGAACAUUCAAAACAACAGACAGACGUAUGCGAAAGGCCAGAGAAGCCAGACCCAGUAAGGAAAAAUAGCUUACUUACUUUUAAAAUAAUAAACCAAAAAACACUGCAUUUUAAAUGUGGGGAUUGGGAACCACUAGUUCUUUCAGAUGGUAUUCUUCAGACUAUAGAAGGAGCUUCCAGUUGAAUUCACCAGUGGACAAAAUGAGGACAACAGAUAUUCCUCAUGCAACUAGUGAUUGGAGAAGCCUGUUUUGAAAAAUUGAUUACACAUAUCAAUAAAAAUUGAAAAAACUUCACUGGUGUGAUUCAUUUAUGUAUAUACCAAACUUCU
rnacentral:lncRNA from 1 species